GACGAACGCUGGCGGCGUGCUUAACACAUGCAAGUCGAACGGAAAGGCCCGGCUUUUGUGGGGUGCUCGAGUGGCGAACGGGUGAGUAACACGUGAGUAACCUGCCCUUGACUUUGGGAUAACUUCAGGAAACUGGGGCUAAUACCGGAUAGGAGCUCUUGCUGCAUGGUGGGGGAUGGAAAGAUUCGGCGGUUGGGGCUGGACUCGCGGGUUAUCAGCCUGUUGGUGGGGUAGUGGCUUAACAAGGCUUAGACGGGUAGCCGGCCUGGGAGCGUGAACGGCCACAUGGGGACUGAGAUACGGCCCAGACGCGUACGGGAGGCAGCAGUGGGGAAUAUUGCAUAAUGGGCGGAAGCCUGAUGCAGCAACGCCGCGUGCGGGAUGACGGCCUUCGGGUUGUAAACCGCUUUCGCCUGUGACGAAGCGGGAGUGACGGUAAUGGGUAAAGAAGCACCGGCUAACUACGUG
rnacentral:rRNA from 1 species